AUAUUGCAUCCAGAAAAACAUAUUCAGUGAAAAUUUGAAAUCAUGAAACAUUGAGAACAACCAAGAAUUUAUUAUUAUUAAAUGAUCAGAUAAAGUAUGCCAAAUUUUUACAAUGGCAUACUAUGUCAUAAUUAAAAAAGAAUAGGUAGAAGUCUAUAAAUGGAUAUGAAUAGAUUGCCAAGACACAUGAUUAGGUAAAAUAAGAAUAUAUAAAUUAUAAUGCUUUUAUGCAAAUCAAAUCUAUUUCUAAAUGCAUAGGAAAGUGAUAGACAUAUUUGUUAAACAAUUACAAGUGUUUGACUCACAGUAAGUUUUCACUUUUUGAAGAAUAUAAUUCCCUAUUGUAUGAAAAAUUUACAACAUACUCUUGUAUCAGAUAUUCCAAUGUAAGGCUCUUAGAGUCGUAAACUUAAUGUUAGAACACAUUUUUUAAAAACUUCCCUCUCCAACAUAUUAGUUCCUUUAACUGAUAUACUGGAAGUUCCCAUUUGUGGCUCAGCAGGUUAAGAACCUGACUACUAUCCACGAGGAUCCCUGGCCUUGCUCGGCAGUUUAAAUAUCUGGUAUUGCUAUAAACUAUAUAGGUCACAGGUGGCUCAGAUCCAGUGUUGCUGUGGCGUAGGCUGGCAGAGGCAGCNNNNNNNNNNNNNNNNNNNNNNNNNNNNNNNNNNNNNNNNNNNNNNNNAAAAAAAAAAAAAAAAAAAAAAAAAAAAAAAAGACCAAUAUACCUAAUUAAGUUGUGGUGAAGAUGCUGUGAAUAGGAUAAGAAAAAUCAUCACUAAGAUGAAAUUCAGGCCUGAAAAUUUAUUAUUUAACUUGAGCACUUGACUUGGCCUUUGGAGUGAGAACAAAGGUGUGUGUAUAUCUCACAUGCCAUGAGCAAGGCUUAGGAUAUUAACCUGUUAAUGUCUCAUCCAUUUACCUGAACUCACCCAAAUAAAUGGAAGGUAGGUAAAAAAAUUGUUUAUUCUUGUUUGGGAGAAUAAAAUACAGUACAUAAAGAACUAAGUUCUCAAUUAUUUUUCAUAUUAUUCUGAUUAAGCAAAUCUCCUGCUUAUUUCAUUAAAGAAACAUAAAAUUACCUCGUGUUAAUCUAGUUUCCUUUUUAUAUGCACACAUUCUUACAAUCUCCUAGAUAUUUGCAGUUCUGGUUAUCACUUUUGUGGAUUGCUCCUAUAGUUACAGCAUUCUAAUUAACUGCUCUUCCCCUAGCUAAGUUCUUUUCUACUUUUUGACUAUUUGAAUGUUAGCAGAAAUCAUAAAUUUAGCAUGCUUGGUAUGAGUUACCAGCUUGUGCUAAACACAUUUUUUCCACGUGCUUCACUUUGUUCAUGGUAUUACCAUCUUUUCAAUAAUUCCGACUUGACUACCAGUAUGUUUGUUAUUUGUACCGUCCAUCUUAGGCAUUCAACCAAUAACACAUAGUGAAUGGCUUUCAUGUUCCCAGCACUGCCAGAUGUCAUGACUUAUCAACUACAUUCUGUCAUUUUCAGUCUAUGAGGAAAGAGAGAUAAUUGAAGUCAUAGUCCUGUAAAAUAAUACUAUAAAUAUCCAAGGGCAAUUUGAUAGCAUAUUCCAGAAACUCCUAAUUGAUGUUGGAGGAAAUGAGGAGAGGUAAGAAAAGACUGGGCAGUAAUCAGAGAAGGUUUCCUGGGCCAAGUACUGGAAAUCAUAUCUUUGGAAGAUUCCUUGUCUCUGUUAUGCAUUUCACCAUUUAAACAAAACUAUUCUAAUUAAGACUCUCAUUACAUGUAGAAUAUACUGUUGCAAAAGUGUUCACCAAAAGCUUCUUUCCUGGUGUCUGUUUUACUCUUGUCUACACUUUCACAAGGGAAUCAUUUGUUGGUCAUCCUGGUGUCUUCUCUAUUUUUGCCCUUGAUAUUCUCCUACCAGAAAACUGGAGAUGUUUCCUUUUGCUCACUAGUCUAUUACUUUCAAUCCACAAACUGGAUUCAACCUUAUUUGUCACGUUUCACCCACUCUAAGGUUGCUCUGUCCAAUAUGAUAUUCACCAGAUGCAUGUGACUUNAUUUAUAAAUUUAAUUCCUUAGUCACACUAGCUACAUUUCAAGUGCUCAGUAACCACAUGUGGCUAGUUGCUAUUUUAUUGCAUAGCAUGUAUAACAGAUAGUUUCACUCCCAGAAAGUUUUAUUAUAUGGGGCUGCUCUAAUUUCUCGCAAAAUUGAGAUAAAUGUUUUCCUCUACAUAGAUCAGUCCUCACCUAUAUGAUUUUGUUCUCUAUGAAUUUUCUUCCUAGAAAGGCUUUUCUUCCAUUUCUCUUUGCUUAUAUCAUUUGUCUUUCAAAUCCAUAUUGCAAUCUUUCUCCUCCAUAAAAUUUUCCCUGAUCACAGAAGCAAUGUUUUAAUUACUUUAAUUACUUUACAUAAUGUAUCAAUCUAGCUUUAACAUAUACACUUUAUAUCUUGCAUUAUAAUUAUUUCUGUACAUAUCUUAUUUAUCCACCUAGGGUAUAGGCUCUCUAGCCACCAUAUUUGCAUUUUAUGCAAUACCUAUCACAUCUGUCACGUAUUAUUGAGGGCUUAUUAAAUGAUUUGAUUUUAGUUGAGUUUAAUUCUUAAAGAUGUGAUAUUCAUAUACAUGCAUUUUUAAUCUUGAGGAAAAGAUUUGGAAAGAGUAUACUUGUAGGCCUAAUUUAAAAUAUCUGGAGGAUUGUAAUAUUAUUACUUUUUUGUGUUAGAAGACAAAGGGCUUAAAAAUAUAAUUAACCCAUUAUCUCUCAAUUAAAGAAUAUAUAAUUACCUCAGUCUAUGAAAGGUUUAGGAAAAAUUCCCAUUUACAGAAAUUAGCAGCAUUAAAAAAAAAAAAAACAAAAAAAAAAA
rnacentral:lncRNA from 1 species